rnacentral:lncRNA from 1 species
UUUGCUACAUUUGAUAAACCAGCCCCCGGACUCCAGGGCCAGAUCCCUCCACAUCACUCUUUUCUCCUCCCCUCCCGCCCUACCCCUUCUUCCCCUGCUCCUCCAUCUCUCCCUGCCCCUGCACUCUACUUGUUCUGCCUCUCUGGGCGCCCUUCCUGUCCCUUUGCUUGUCUUUCUCUUCCUGCCUGUUGUUCUCCUACCUUGUCUGCACUGGGCAUUUCUUCCUCGUGUCAUCCUCAUGUUUUUUGUUUUUUCCUCUUGCUGUCAUAUCCUGUCAUCUUUUUCUUGAAUAACUUCUUUCUAAUUUUUUGGGCUCCAUGGCUCAUCCCUCAUGCCUGUCCUUCUGUCUGGCCCAUUUGCUCCUGUCUCCUGUCUGUUUUCUCAUUUUCCUCCUGCACUUGUUCCUACUAUUGACCUCUAUACCCCUGACCCAUAUUCCACUGUCCCUUUCCCUCCCCGUUCCCCCUUCCCUCAUUCCUCUCCCCUUACCCCCAAACCCCUCUGUGUCUCCCUCUCUCACCCUUCCCCUCCUCUCUCCACCUCCCUCCCCGCCCUCCCCUGUCUCCUAUUCCCUCUGCAGGAGGCUAUGAUGGACUUCUUCAACGCCCAGAUGCGCUUGGGGGGGUUGACUCAGGCCCCUGGCAACCCAGUCUUGGCUGUUCAGAUAAAUCAAGACAAGAAUUUUGCCUUUUUGGAGGUAAGCUUUCCAGUGAUAAGGUUAAGGGAUAGUAGGGCUAAUCUGUGCUGGCUACUUUGUUUUCUCUGCAGCCCAUUUUCCAUUUGGCUGCUGAAGGAGUUCUGCAGUUCCAUCUUGACUUAUGCCUUCCUGUGUUCUACCUCACUGGGAGGACUGUUUGGCAUCUGCCUGCUUUGUGGUUUUUGAGACUGUUCUGGCCCAGUCCACUCUGUUCAGGCUAUACGGAUUUUUCCAGAGGG